UGGAUGUUUCCCUGGUUUCCUGUCUCUACUUUGGAUUAGUAAAGAGUUAUUUUUGUUAUCUCCUAGAGGGAGAUUGUGACACUCCCGUCACUACAAAAUAGUCAUGAGGGCCUGUUUGAUAUAAUUUCCUGGUUUUCUUGUCACAUGACAACAAAACAGCUUCCUUGCAUGUUGUUUUUACCCCUCUAGACCCUGUUGGUAGAUGUUGUAUCUACACCAUCUGUUUCUAAAAUGCAACUCCCUUGACAGCCAUUCAAAAGUAGCAGUGUGUUCUCACAGAAUAAUAUUUUUCCUUUGACGUCACAGCACAGCAUAGUUGCUAGUGAAGGCUGUAGCACUGUGUGCAUUCUUGAGGAGCCAUCAGCAAAUCAACAUUGUCAUGAUGUCAUUUCCCACGACUCAGUGAUGCAUGGCAUUUAUUGUACAGCUCAUAUAACUGGCCAUUGAGAUGAAUGGGAAAGCUAACAGAUAACGCUCUCCAGAAUGGAAAUGUGAAGAUGGAAUCACCACAAUGUGGAAAACACUACCUCAGCCAAAUAUAAAAUGUCAUACAGACAUGACUGAACAUAUCCACAUGGUAUAAUACAGGAGAAAGUAACCAAUGAAGAGAUCAAAGAUAGAGGAUAAGUCUCACACCCAAUGAAAGCCUCCAGCCACAGUAUCUAUAGCAACAGACUUCACAAUCCAGGAAUCCAGCAGAUAUUCAAAAGGACAAUACAGACUUAAAGAAUUAUUAUUGGACUUCUCCAAUAAUAUGUUAAAAGCACAAACGCACAGGUUGCUCUGUCUGCUCUUCUUGGGUACCACACCAGAGAAGCCACAUGACACUAAUAUUGAGUUUAAUGUAUGUUUUCUUUCUUUAACGUUAAAGGUCACCACCAUCCUGCAUUACAGUAAUGGUAAAACUAGUCCCAUUCCUGGCCAAGAGAAAAAUACCAAUUUGGCUUGAUUUUAGUGUAUGUGCAUGUGUAUCAGAUGGCCAAUGGAUAGACUGUCUGAUGCCAAGACUAUGAUAUAAUAAAGCAGCACCUGAUUCUCAAACUUAUGUUGCGAAGUCAGACGAUGUCAGGUUACAAAGCCACAACACUGACCUCAACAGGCUGCAAAAGCAGAUGAAUGCUUUGGCUUAUUAUAUAGACACAAGCCACGUUUCCAUUAAACUUCAAAUUUCGCUAAUUGAAAAUGCGCCUAAUGGAAACAUUUCAAUUUCGCAAAAACUCUGAUAUAUCGCAAAAAGGUUUUUGCAUUCUCAUGAGGUGGCUUCUCAGGCAAUUUGAAAAAGGAAUAUUAGCAAUAGUUUUUUUAAUCGACAUUUAUAACAUAUCGCAAAACUUUGCACAAAUCUGUAAUGAAAACCUGCCUACUAUUGAGCAGAGUCACAAAUACUACUUUUGCGUGUGGUAUUUCAGUGCAAAACCUGAGUGUUAUUUGCUAAACAUCUGCAAUCAAGUCUGUCCAGGCACAUAAAUGAUC